rnacentral:rRNA from 1 species
AUUGAACGCUGGCGGCAUGCUUUACACAUGCAAGUCGAACGGUAACAGGCCUUCGGGUGCUGACGAGUGGCGCACGGGUGAGUAAUGCAUCGGAACGUGCCCAGAGGUGGGGGAUAACGCAGCGAAAGCUGUGCUAAUACCGCAUGUGAUCUGAGGAUGAAAGCGGGGGACCAAGCAGCAAUGUUUGGCCUCGCGCCUCUGGAGCGGCCGAUGUCAGAUUAGGUAGUUGGUGGGGUAAAGGCCUACCAAGCCGACGAUCUGUAGCUGGUCUGAGAGGACGACCAGCCACACUGGGACUGAGACACGGCCCAGACUCCUACGGGAGGCAGCAGUGGGGAAUUUUGGACAAUGGGCGCAAGCCUGAUCCAGCAAUGCCGCGUGCGGGAAGAAGGCCUUCGGGUUGUAAACCGCUUUUGUACGGAACGAAAAGGCUCUGGCUAAUACCUGGGGCUGAUGACGGUACCGGAAGAAUAAGCACCGGCUAACUACGUG